rnacentral:rRNA from 1 species
GACGAACGCUGGCGGCGUGCUUAACACAUGCAAGUCGAACGGAAAGGCCCUGCUUCUGUGGGGUGCUCGAGUGGCGAACGGGUGAGUAACACGUGAGUAACCUGCCCUUGACUUUGGGAUAACUUCAGGAAACUGGGGCUAAUACCGGAUAGGAGCUCCUGCUGCAUGGUGGGGGUUGGAAAGUUUCGGCGGUUGGGGAUGGACUCGCGGCUUAUCAGCUUGUUGGUGGGGUAGUGGCUUACCAAGGCUUUGACGGGUAGCCGGCCUGAGAGGGUGACCGGCCACAUUGGGACUGAGAUACGGCCCAGACUCCUACGGGAGGCAGCAGUGGGGAUUAUUGCACAAUGGGCGGAAGCCUGAUGCAGCAACGCCGCGUGCGGGAUGACGGCCUUCGGGUUGUAAACCGCUUUCGCCUGUGACGAAGCGUGAGUGACGGUAAUGGGUAAAGAAGCACCGGCUAACUACGUG